CUAAAGAGUACAAAGAUUGAUAACUGAAGGAAGGUUGGCACUACCGGCUCAUCAUCCAUUUCGGCUUUUGUUUUUUAGUUUCGUCCUUGCUGCGACAGUGAAGAAAUCACACUGCAAAUGUAAUUGACUUACUGGGGUUUGUAGUAGACAGAAAAGGGUCUCUGCGGAGGUCUUUGUGGAGACACAUAAGAAAAAGAAGAAAGACGGUUCAAGAGAAGGAUGGGUUGAGACACGUGCAUCGGAACAAUAUGAUGGAUUUCAUAGAAGCUUGGAUGAAUGGUGUCAGACGCAGGCUAUUUCUGAUGAUGGUACCCCAAUCCAACCGUCACCCGAUGUUAUGACUUCAAUAUGGACGGAUGUAGCAGGUGGUGUAUCCAAAGGAAGAGUUUAUGGGCUUGGAGUACAACGGCCUUCCUCUUUUUGUCCAUCGCCAUUAGUUUCGGAUGCUCCUACUACGCAAAAUCAGGAAGAAUGGGAGCAAUGCAAAAGAAAAUGGAGUUGUUGUCGAAACGAUGUGAGACGGCCGAAGCUCACAUUGCUAGAAUGGAUAAAUACAUGAAAAAACACAUGCCCCACUAUUAUGAUGAUGAAGAGACUGAUUCUGAUAUGUAGUAGUGAUUUAAGGUUGAUUACUGUUCUUGGAUGUUUAAAUUUUAUAUUUAGACUUUAUGAUAGAUUUGAAUGAUGUGGUAUAUAUAUGUUUAGACUUUAUUAUAUUAGUGUCGAUAUGUAUUAGCUACUCAGACUUGAUAUUGAAUAUUUAGACGUUAAGUAAUAUUUUGGUUUGAUAUUAUGGGA